rnacentral:rRNA from 1 species
GACGAACGCUGGCGGCGUGCUUAACACAUGCAAGUCGAACGGAAAGUCCCUGCUUUUGUGGGGUGCUCGAGUGGCGAACGGGUGAGUAACACGUGAGUAACCUGCCCUUGACUUUGGGAUAACUUCAGGAAACUGGGGCUAAUACCGGAUAGGAUCUCCUGCUGCAUGGUUGGGGUUGGAGAGUUUCGGCGGUUGGGGAUGGACUCGCGGCUUAUCAGCUUGUUGGUGGGGUAGUGGCUUACCAAGGCUUUGACGGGUAGCCGGCCUGGGAGGGUGACCGGCCACAUUGGGACUGAGAUACGGCCCAGACUCCUACGGGAGGCAGCAGUGGGGAAUAUUGCACAAUGGGCGGAAGCCUGAUGCAGCAACGCCGCGUGCGGGAUGACGGCCUUCGGGUUGUAAACCGCUUUCGCCUGUGACGAAGCGUGAGUGACGGUAAUGGGUAAAGAAGCACCGGCUAACUACGUG